UAGGGAAUAUUGGACAAUGGGCGAAAGCCUGAUCCAGCAAUGCCGCGUGAGUGAUGAAGGCCUUAGGGUUGUAAAGCUCUUUUACCCGGGAUGAUAAUGACAGUACCGGGAGAAUAAGCUCCGGCUAACUCCGUGCCAGCAGCCGCGGUAAUACGGAGGGAGCUAGCGUUGUUCGGAAUUACUGGGCGUAAAGCGCACGUAGGCGGCUAUUCAAGUCAGAGGUGAAAGCCCGGGGCUCAACCCCGGAACUGCCUUUGAAACUAGAUAGCUUGAAUCCAGGAGA
rnacentral:rRNA from 1 species